rnacentral:rRNA from 1 species
UACGGAGGGUGCGAGCGUUGUCCGGAAUCAUUGGGCGUAAAGGGCGCGUAGGUGCCUCUUAAGCGUGCGGUGAAAGCCUGGGGCUCAACCCCGGGUCGGCCGUGCGAACUGGGGGGCUGGAGCACUGUAGAGGCAGGCGGAAUUCCGGGUGUAGCGGUGGAAUGCGUAGAGAUCCGGAAGAACACCGGUGGCGAAGGCGGCCUGCUGGGCAGUUGCUGACACUGAGGCGCCGACGAGCGUGGGGAGCAAACAGGG